rnacentral:rRNA from 1 species
AACGAACGCUGGCGGCAUGCCUUACACAUGCAAGUCGAACGCGAAAGCACUUUCGGGUGUUAGUAGAGUGGCAAACGGGAGAGUAACGCGUGGGAAUCUACCUUAUAGUACGGAAUAGCCUCGGGAAACUGGGAUUAAUACCGUAUAUUCCCUUCGGGGGAAAGAUUUAUCGCUAUAAGAUGAGCCCGCGUCAGAUUAGCUAGUUGGUGGGGUAAAAGCCUACCAAGGCAACGAUCUGUAGCUGGUCUGAGAGGACGAUCAGCCACAUUGGGACUGAGACACGGCCCAAACUCCUACGGGAGGCAGCAGUGGGGAAUAUUGGACAAUGGGCGAAAGCCUGAUCCAGCAAUGCCGCGUGAAUGAUGAAGGCCUUAGGGUUGUAAAGUUCUUUUAGUGGGGAAGAUAAUGACGGUACCCACAGAAAAAGCACCGGCUAACUUCGUGCCAGCCGCCGCAGUAA